rnacentral:rRNA from 1 species
UACAGAGGGUGCGAGCGUUAAUCGGAAUUACUGGGCGUAAAGCGCGCGUAGGCGGCUUUGCAAGUCGGGUGUGAAAUCCCCAGGCUCAACCUGGGAACUGCAUUCGAGACUGCAUUGCUAGAGUAUGGGAGAGGGAAGUGGAAUUUCCGGUGUAGCGGUGAAAUGCGUAGAUAUCUGGAGGAAUACCGGUGGCGAAGGCGGCAUCCUGGACCGAAACUGACGCUGAGGCGCGAAAGCUAGGGGAGCAAACGGG